UACCCUAUUAUAUUAGGUGUUAAUUUUUUGCUUGGUUAGUAUUAGAUUAUUCUUGAAAUCCAAAUAAUUUGGCGGUAUUUUAUUCUAUUCAGAGGAACCUGUUCUUUAAUUGAUAAUCCACGAUUUUAUGUACUUAAUCUUGUAUAGCAGUUUUUAUAUUUCCGUCAUAAGGAUAUUUUAUUAGGAUAAAUUUUCUUAAUUAUUAAAAUUAAUAAUGUCAGGUCAAGAUGAAACUAAUGUUUAAGUAGAAAUGGGUUACAAUAAAUUUAUUUAUACGAAUUUUUAAUUUUAUAUUUAUUUUGAAGGAGGAUUUGAUAGUAAAUAAAUUUAUUAAAUUUAUUGAUUUAAGCUCUAAAUUAUGUACACAUCGCC
rnacentral:rRNA from 1 species